rnacentral:rRNA from 1 species
AUGGGUCGGGGGCUCGGCAAUGAUCGUAUGCUGUUCCUGGCCAACUUGAUCCGAUCUACUAAAGCGCAGGUAACUUUUGUUUCAGAAAUCAAGUCUUCUAAAGUUCGUUCUGUAGAUCUUGUUAAUAGGUUUGAUGUUACUAGUGCCUUUGUUGUUCCCUCUAGAGGUGCCUCAGGAGGCCUCUGGCUUAUGUGGACUGAUGACCUCAAAGUUUCUGUUCAUAGUGCUAACUUCCACUAUAUAUUAGCUAAUGUAGUUCAUCUAGCUUCUAGGGUCCAAUUUUGUUUGAUUUGUAUAUAUGGCGACCCGUACCAUAGGCAGACUACAGCCAUUUGGAGUCAAAUUUCCACUUUUGUUUAUGACAAUUUAGGUGCACCCAUGGUGUGUAUGGGUGACCUUAAUGACAUUCCGUACGAUACGGAUGGAUGUAAUGGCAGUGUGAAUUACUUUCGUAUGAAUGCUUUUCGGUCUCUUGUUAAAAAUUGUGGUUUCUUUGACAUAGGUUUUAGUGGUCCGGCGUAUACUUGGCGUGGCAAUCAGCAUACUUCUAAACCCAUUUACCGUUGCCUUGAUCGUUGCUUACUUAAUGCGGAGUGGUGCAUGCAUUAUCCUAACACUAAAGUCCUUAAUUUGCCUAUUAUCCUUAGUGAUCAUGCUCCUAUUUUAAUGUCUACGGAGGGCAGUUUUACUAAACCCAAGCAAGCUUUUAAAUUUGAAAAUUGGUGGUUGAUGGAAAAGGACUUUGCCAAUUUUGCCAAAUCUGCAUGGAACAAUUGUUCGCUUACAUCUUUUGCAGCCAAGACAUCUUCUUUGGCAGGUUCUCUGAAGGUGUGGUGCAGGAAAAAGAAAUCUCUUCAAAGUGAUCUUUUGGAGCUAGAAGUGCAGAUCAACCAGCUGCAGCAAGAUCCAUUGCAGCAACGAGACCAUGCUUUAGAAGGGUCCCUCACUAUCAGAUGCUGGAGUUCAGGAGCCAGACGCCACCGACGACGACGACUCCCACGGCACUGGAGGUGCCUACUACUACGUGCAGGCUGCUGA